rnacentral:rRNA from 1 species
UGGUCUGAGAGGAUGAUCAGUCACACUGGAACUGAGACACGGUCCAGACUCCUACGGGAGGCAGCAGUAGGGAAUAUUGCGCAAUGGGGGAAACCCUGACGCAGCAACGCCGCGUGGAGGAUGACACUUUUCGGAGCGUAAACUCCUUUUCUUAGGGAAGAAUUCUGACGGUACCUAAGGAAUAAGCACCGGCUAACUCCGUGCCAGCAGCCGCGGUAAUACGGAGGGUGCAAGCGUUACUCGGAAUCACUGGGCGUAAAGGGCGCGUAGGCGGAUUAUCAAGUCUCUUGUGAAAUCCAACGGCUUAACCGUUGAACUGCUUGGGAAACUGGUAAUCUAGAGUGGGGGAGAGGCAGAUGGAAUUGGUGGUGUAGGGGUAAAAUCCGUAGAUAUCACCAAGAAUACCCAUUGCGAAGGCGAUCUGCUGGAACUUAACUGACGCUAAGGCGCGAAAGCGUGGGGAGCAAACAGGAUUAGAUACCCUGGUAGUCCACGCCCUAAACGAUGUAUGCUAGUUGUUGGGGUGCUAGUCAUCUCAGUAAUGCAGCUAACGCAUUAAGCAUACCGCCUGGGGAGUACGGUCGCAAGAUUAAAACUCAAAGGAAUAGACGGGGACCCGCACAAGCGGUGGAGCAUGUGGUUUAAUUCGAAGAUACGCGAAGAACCUUACCUGGGCUUGAUAUCCUAAGAACCUUAUAGAGAUAUGAGGGUGCUAGCUUGCUAGAACUUAGAGACAGGUGCUGCACGGCUGUCGUCAGCUCGUGUCGUGAGAUGUUGGGUUAAGUCCCGCAACGAGCGCAACCCACGUAUUUAGUUGCUAACACUUCGGGUGAGCACUCUAAAUAGACUGCCUUCGUAAGGAGGAGGAAGGUGUGGACGACGUCAAGUCAUCAUGGCCCUUAUGCCCAGGGCGACACACGUGCUACAAUGGCAUAUACAAUGAGACGCAAUACCGCGAGGUGGAGCAAAUCUAUAAAAUAUGUCCCAGUUCGGAUUGUUCUCUGCAACUCGAGAGCAUGAAGCCGGAAUCGCUAGUAAUCGUAGAUCAGCCAUGCUACGGUGAAUACGUUCCCGGGUCUUGUACUCACCGCCCGUCACACCAUGGGAGUUGAUUUCACUCGAAGCCGGAAUACUAAACUAGUUACCGUCCACAGUGGAAUCAGCGACUGGGGUGAAGUCGUAACAAGGUAACCGUAGGAGAACCUGCGGUUGGAUCACCUCCUUUCUA